rnacentral:rRNA from 1 species
AAGAUGGCGACCGGCGCACGGGUGAGUAACACGUAUCCAACCUGCCGAUAACUCUGGAAUAGCCUUUCGAAAGAAAGAUUAAUACCCGAUGGCAUAGUUCUUCCGCAUGGUGGAACUAUUAAAGAAUUUCGGUCAUCGAUGGGGAUGCGUUCCAUUAGGUUGUUGGCGGGGUAACGGCCCACCAAGCCUUCGAUGGAUAGGGGGUUCUGAGAGGAAGGUCCCCCACAUUGGAACUGAGACACGGUCCAAACUCCUACGGGAGGCAGCAUG